rnacentral:rRNA from 1 species
GUCCUCUUGUUUUAUAUAUGAGGUCUGACCUGCCCAGUGAAAAUUAUUUUAACGGCCGCGGUAUUUUGACCGUGCAAAGGUAGCAUAAUCAUUAGUCUUUUAAUAGGGGGCUGGAAUGAAGGGUUUGACGAGGUAUUAACUGUCUCAUUUAAUUUGAAAUUAAAAUUUAACUUUUCAGUUAAAAGGCUGAAAUUAUAUUGGAAGACGAGAAGACCCUAUAGAGCUUUAUAUUUAAAAUUAAUAAUAAAUUUUUGCUUAUUAUUAUUUCUUAUUAUUUUAAUUAUUUUGUUGGGGUGACAAAAACAUAUAAAUAACUUUUUUAUUUAAGUGACAUUGAUUUAUGAUUAUUAGAUCCAAUCUUAUUGAUUGUUAGAUUAAGUUACC